rnacentral:rRNA from 1 species
GACGAACGCUGGCGGCGUGCUUAACACAUGCAAGUCGAGCGAUGAAAUCCCUUCGGGGAUGGAUUAGCGGCGGACGGGUGAGUAACACGUGGGUAACCUGCCUCAUAGAGGGGAAUAGCCUUCCGAAAGGAAGAUUAAUACCGCAUAAGAUUGUAGUGCCGCAUGGCAUAGCAAUUAAAGGAGUAAUCCGCUAUGAGAUGGACCCGCGUCGCAUUAGCUAGUUGGUGAGGUAACGGCUCACCAAGGCGACGAUGCGUAGCCGACCUGAGAGGGUGAUCGGCCACAGUGGGACUGAGACACGGCCCAGACUCCUACGGGAGGCAGCAGUGGGGAAUAUUGCACAAUGGGGGAAACCCUGAUGCAGCAACGCCGCGUGAGUGAUGACGGUCUUCGGAUUGUAAAGCUCUGUCUUCAGGGACGAUAAUGACGGUACCUGAGGAGGAAGCCACGGCUAACUACGUGCCAGCAGCCGCCGUAACAC